UUUUCUCCGUUUUUCCUCCCAUUUCCCAUUUCUCUCUGCGUUUCUAUCACUUUCAGACCUCUCUUUCUUUCCUUUUCAAAUCUCAGCUUCGGUUGGUUGCCGAUUUUUGUUGGCUCACUUUUGAAUCUUGCUUUAUGUCCUUCUCAGCUGUUCGUUUGCUCACUGAACACCAAAUCAGUGUAAUGUUCUUCAACUUUACAAUUUUCUUUUGUUCGAAACUACGGGUUUGAUUUCAUUAGAUUCCAAAAUUUAAAUCUUUGUUUGGCUCAACUUUUAAACCCAGAUGGUGUUAUGGCUUUUGAUGAGUGAUUAUAUCGUAGAAACCAAAAUUAUAGGGAGAGAGAAACGACAUAGAAAGGAUGGAAGAUAGAAACGGGUUUCAUUUAUACAAAUGUGAGGUUAUACAAAGGUGAGGACAACUUGGCUACUACAUCAUUUCUUGCUGCUUGAGGGUAAGAUUUAGCUGGUUAGGUAGUGAGUUGCAAAGUUGUGAUGAGAUCUUAAGUUAAUUUUUAAUCAAUGAAUUUGAGAGCAUCUUUAUCUGUU